rnacentral:rRNA from 1 species
GGACCGGGAUAACCCUGGGAAACUGGGGAUAAUACUGGAUAGGCAAUUUUUCCUGUAAUGGUUUUUGUUUAAAUGUUUUUUCGCCUAAGGAUGGGUCUGCGGCCGAUUAGGUAGUUGGUUAGGUAAUGGCUUACCAAGCCGUUGAUCGGUACGGGUUGUGAGAGCAAGAGCCCGGAGAUGGAACCUGAGACAAGGUUCCAGGCCCUACGGGGUGCAGCAGGCGCGAAACCUCCGCAAUGUGAGAAAUCGCGACGGGGGGAUCCCAAGUGCCAUUCUUAACGGGAUGGCUUUUCAUUAGUGUAAAGAGCUUUUGGAAUAAGGGCUGGGCAAGACCGGUGCCAGCCGCCGCGGUAACACCGGCAGCUCUAGUGGUAGCAGUUUUUAUUGGGCCUAAAGCGUCCGUAGCCGGUUUAAUAAGUCUCUGGUGAAAUCCUGUAGCUUAACUGUGGGAAUUGCUGGAGAUACUAUUAGACUUGAGACCGGGAGAGGUUAGAGGUACUCCCAGGGUAGAGGUGAAAUUCUGUAAUCCUGGGAGGACCGCCUGUUGCGAAGGCGUCUAACUGGAACGGUUCUGACGGUGAGGGACGAAAGUUAGGGGCGCGAACCGGAUUAGAUACCCGGGUAGUCCUAACUGUAAACGAUGCGGACUUGGUGUUGGGGUGGCUUUGAGCUGCUCCAGUGCCGAAGGGAAGCUGUUAAGUCCGCCGCCUGGGAAGUACGGUCGCAAGACUGAAACUUAA